rnacentral:rRNA from 1 species
GGAUGAGCCCACGUCGGAUUAGCUAGUUGGCGGGUAAAGGCCCACCAAGGCGACGAUCCGUAGCUGGUCUGAGAGGAUGAUCAGCCACACUGGAACUGAGACACGGUCCAGACUCCUACGGGAGGCAGCAGUAGGGAAUAUUGGACAAUGGGCGCAAGCCUGAUCCAGCCAUGCCGCGUGAGUGAAGAAGGCCCUCGGGUUGUAAAGCUCUUUUGUCCGGAAAGAAAAGCGCCGGGUUAAUACCCUGGUGUCCUGACGGUACCGGAAGAAUAAGCACCGGCUAACUUCGUG